CCUUCCUUUUCCAGGCUCGGACUGGCGGGAAGUACCACGUCGGCAAACCGGCACGUAUCGCUGAAGAAGAUAUCUUGCGCGACGAAAAAUUCGAGUUUAGAGAGCCCAUCCCGGACGAAGUUUGAGUUCGAGUCCACCAGGCUGAUCUCUUCUCCGAACAAGUACAUGGCCUUGAGUUUGCCCACAUGGAUCGCAUCGAUCAUUUCGUGGUUAUCAAGGC
rnacentral:misc_RNA from 1 species